rnacentral:pre_miRNA from 1 species
UUAGAAGAAUAGGCUCAUCAGAGCAUAUAGCAUAUUCAUCUGAGCUAUAUGCUCUGAUGAACCUAUUCUUCUAAAC